CCUGGUUGAUUCUGCCAGUAGUCAUAUGCUUGUCUCAAAGAUUAAGCCAUGCAUGUCUAAGUAUAAGCAAUCAUACUGUGAAACUGCGAAUGGCUCAUUAAAUCAGUUAUCGUUUAUUUGAUAGUACCUUUACCUGGAUAACCGUGGUAAUUCUAGAGCUAAUACAUGCUAAAAACCCCGACUUCGGGAGGGGUGUAUUUAUUAGAUAAAAAACCAAUGCCCUCUGGGCUCCUUGGUGAWUCAUAAUAACUUMACGAAUCGCAUGGCCUUGCGCCGGCGAUGGUUCAUUCAAAUUUCUGCCCUAUCAACUUUCGAUUGUAAGAUAGAGGCUUACAAUGGUCUUAACGGGUAACGGGGAAUUAGGGUUCUAUUCCGGAGAGGGAGCCUGAGAAACGGCUACCACAUCCAAGGAAGGCAGCAGGCGCGCAAAUUACCCAAUGCURAUYCAGCGAGGUAGUGACAAUAAAUACYGAUACGGGGCUCUUUCGGGUCUCGUAAUUGGAAUGAGUACAAUCUAAAUCCCUUAACGAGGAACAAUUGGAGGGCAAGUCUGGUGCCAGCAGCCGCGGUAAUUCCAGCUCCAAUAGCGUAUAUUAAAGUUGUUGCAGUUAAAAAGCUCGUAGUUGAACCUUGGGCCUGGCUGGCCGGUCCGCCUCACCGCGUGCACUGGUCCGGCCGGGCCUUUCCUUCUGGGGAGCCGCAUGCCCUUCACUGGGUGUGCCGGGGAACCAGGACUUUUACUUUGAAAAAAUUAGAGUGUUCAAAGCAGGCCUAUGCUCGGAUACAUUAGCAUGGAAUAAUCGAAUAGGACGUGGGGUUCUAUUUUGUUGGUUUCUAGGACCGCCGUAAUGAUUAAUAGGGAUGGUCGGGGGCAUCAGUAUUCAAUUGUCAGAGGUGAAAUUCUUGGAUUUAUUGAAGACUAACUACUGCGAAAGCAUUUGCCAAGGAUGUUUUCAUUAAUCAGGGAACGAAAGUUAGGGGAUCGAAGACGAUCAGAUACCGUCGUAGUCUUAACC
rnacentral:rRNA from 1 species